CGUUCGGAUUGUAAACUUCUUUUAUAGGGGAUGAAUGCCUGCGUGAAUAACGCAGGGUGACAGUACCCUUUGAAUAAGCCACGGCUAACUACGUGC
rnacentral:rRNA from 1 species